AGUGAACGCUGGCGGUAGGCCUAACACAUGCAAGUCGAACGGCAGCACAGUAAGAGCUUGCUCUUACGGGUGGCGAGUGGCGGACGGGUGAGGAAUACAUCGGAAUCUACUUUUUCGUGGGGGAUAACGUAGGGAAACUUACGCUAAUACCGCAUACGACCUACGGGUGAAAGCAGGGGAUCUUCGGACCUUGCGCGAUUGAAUGAGCCGAUGUCGGAUUAGCUAGUUGGCGGGGUAAAGGCCCACCAAGGCGACGAUCCGUAGCUGGUCUGAGAGGAUGAUUAGCCACACUGGAAGUGAGACACGGUCCAGACUCCUACGGGAGGCAGCAGUGGGGAAUAGUGGACAAUGGGCGCAAGCCUGAUCCAGCCAUACCGCGUGGGUGAAGAAGGCCGUCGGGUUGGAAAGCCCUUUUGUUGGGAAAGAAAAGCAGCAGGUUAAUACCCCGCUGUUCUGACGGUACCCAAAGAAUAAGCACCGGCUAACUUCGUG
rnacentral:rRNA from 1 species